UAUGUGUGUGAAGGCUGAUCGCUGGACUGAGCUGCGGCACCGGUAGUGAGUAACCAUACAGCUGUGCGUCCAGUAUUCAACAUCAAUUGGAAAGGGGAACAUUGAGUCCAGUUCUCGGCUAGUGAUUUCAUGUGACGCAGCUGCUGUUUUGCUUACGGAUAUAUUUUGGUUUCGAUCGUGUCAUUGACUGUCAUCUGGACUGUAUACUGUUUUGCUGCCUUGCACGUCGCCGGGGCUGUUAAAGCGGGCUUCGGAUGCGCGUCCGCAAGGCUGCCUAUCAGUUAAGCUUUUGGAUUUAAUUUUUCGUGUUUAAUUUGAUUCUUGAUUUGUUUGUUUCGUUUUCUGGUUAUUUUGGUUUUGAAUUUCUUUUUAUUUCAUUAUUGUAUUUUCUUUAUACAUUUUCUGUUUGUAUGUAUUGUUGUAAAGGUGUGUUUAUUUUUGAUGCCUUGCUCCAGUGCCAUUCUGAUGUUGGCUAUUCGUUUGUAGGCCUAUGUGGUGGUCUCUGGAGGCCUGAGCAUUAGAACUGUUGUAGUAACUUUAUUAUUUUUGUGUUUGGCUUAUUUUUCAUUUAAUUGUUGUUUGUUUUAAUUGUUGUUUGUUUUUCUUUAAUGCUUUUUUCUUUCUCUCCAGGGCCAGUGAAGUCGUGUGUGUGUGUGUGUGGAACUGGGGAGGCUAGCUGCUCCAUUCUGCGGUGUUUCACAGCGUGCUGUGUGCUGAUACAAUUUCUCUUUGGUUGGUGUGUGUGGUGUUUGCCUGGUGUGAAUUGAGGUGGGUUUUGGAUGACCUCUUGAGUUGCAGCCGGCCUGCCUGGUUCCCACAAAUCCUGGCCCUGGAUAUUAUAUUUCUGUUAUUGUGGGUGUGUUUGCGAGAGUUUUAAUUAAUGUGAUUUUAUAAUAAAGUCUAUUUUGUAUUGUUA